GCGUGGGAGACGAUGACGUGAGGGUGCUCGCUCCUCUGGGGGAGAUUGCUCCAAAUCCUUGGAUCAAGAGCCCAUCACCUGCCAGGUGUAUGCAUGUCACCGCUCUGGCCACAGCCAAUGAAAACGAGAGUUACUAAGUUGGCGGAAAACAGAAGCCAAUUACAGCCUAGAUUUAACCUAUGACGUCACGGGUUCGAGCGCCAAAGCCCAGCAGCCAAUCAGCAGUCGUGAUUUCACUUGAGCCAAUCAAAGCGCACAGUGGUGGUGGGGCGGUAAACUUGCCUCCAGUCAUGCGCGGGAGAUGGCGUGCGCUCCUCUGGGUAAGGUUGCUGCAAAUCCUUGGAUCAAGAGUCCAUCACCAGCACACACAAAGCAAAUUGCUAAGUUGGCGGGAAGCAACAGCCAAUUACAGCGUAGAUUUAGCCUGACGUCACGGGCUUGAGCGCCUAGACCCAGCAGUCGUGACGUCACUUAAUCAGCCAAUGAGAGCGCUCAGAUUACUACGUCACAGUCUGGUAGUGCGGUAGCCCGCGUAUUUUACGCCUCAAGUCAUGCGUGGGAGGAGUGAGGGCGCGCGCUCCUCUGUUGAAGCAGACGAGUUCAGCAGUAACUGUUAGCCUUUAUGGUAAGUGGUAACGCUUGUCACUUUCAUUUAUAAGUGAUCAGUUAUUACUUAUCCCUUUACCAUUUGUCUACCACUUACGUUAUUUUACCACUUUUAUGACCUUGCCAUUUAUCACUACCACUUAUAUCACUACUAUAAAUUUUAAUUGAAAUUAUUAUUCGCUGAAACAUUAAUUUAUUAUCCAGCGUUUUAUAUAUGGACUUUGUUGCCAUGGAUACGUGAAUAUGGUGGAUGCCUUGUUGAAUUAUUCUAGUAAACUAAGAUUUAAAUGUCAUAGCAUAUGUAGGUUUUUUUGUAAUUACUGAUUUUAAUGUUCAUUAUUUUAAACUGAUUUAAAGUUGAUAUUAUAAUUUUUUGCAGUUGCCAUGUUUUAAGUUGAUGCAAGUUAAA